rnacentral:rRNA from 1 species
GACGAACGCUGGCGGCGUGCCUAACACAUGCAAGUCGAACGGAAAGGCCCUGCUUUUGUGGGGUGCUCGAGUGGCGAACGGGUGAGUAACACGUGAGUAACCUGCCCUUGACUUUGGGAUAACUUCAGGAAACUGGGGCUAAUACCGGAUAGGAGCUCCUGCUGCAUGGUGGGGGUUGGAAAGUUUCGGCGGUUGGGGAUGGACUCGCGGCUUACCAGCUUGUUGGUGGGGUAGUGGCUUACCAAGGCUUUGACGGGUAGCCGGCCUGAGAGGGUGACCGGCCACAUUGGGACUGAGAUACGGCCCAGACUCCUACGGGAGGCAGCAGUGGGGAAUAUUGCACAAUGGGUGGAAGCCUGAUGCAGCAACGCCGCGUGCGGGAUGACGGCCUUCGGGUUGUAAACCGCUUUCGCCUGUGACGAAGCGUGAGUGACGGUAAUGGGUAAAGAAGCACCGGCUAACUACGUG